AGAGAAACUCCAAAGGCUUCCUGGACAUCAAAAAAAAACCCUCUUACAAAACAAUAUUUUGAUGAGCUAAGUGUGUGAAUUAAAAGCAGAUGGAGUCUACUUCCUUUAAAAUAAACAGGGUUUAAAAUCUAGGGGCCAACUCCCACACGCAAUGUGUCUCCGGGCCGGGGAAACAAGAGCUGCCCUUCCACAAACCCAAGGUGGGCGCAUUCGUCCCAUGCAAGGUGCUGGGGGGCAAUGGCCCUGCUCUGUGUGUCCAGUGCCAUCCCAGCAACGGGGACCCAGAGGAGGGAUGUGACUGCCUGACAGGCAGCCCCCAGGCUCUGCCGCGGCCUGCAGAGUGGAGUGCAAAGCCCAGCCUAGCCCUAGCACUCUCCUGAUCCUGCCCCACGCACUGCCCCCCUGGGUCAGACGGAUGGCCUUGCAGCCCUAGAGCAUUACUGGCGCUCGCCCUGCCUGGAGAGAGAGAUCGGAGCCACAGGUGUGUGACGGACGAGGGACGAGCACGUGGGACCCGGUUCUGGGAGGGACCCUCAGUGAACAACGUACGGAACACACGCAUGCAGGAUGGAGCAGACCAAAUGCUCCAAAGAUAAGGGCCCUGACACGCAGGGACUCUGGAAGGUGUUCCCACAGCACUGCCAACUGGAAGGACGUUGGAACAUCACUUCCUUGUUCUACCCAAGUGCGCAUGGACGAGUCGCCCCGAAACCCACGUCCGUGCCCCGUGUUCAGGCUGGUCCUGGGCACCCCUGCUCCCAUGCCCAGCCCCGCUCAGGCUGAAGCCACGCAGAAACUGAGAGGACAGGCCACGAGACCAGAGCCUGAAGGGCCACCCUCAUCGCUGACCGAUGUCCCGGUAUGAUCAGCCUCUGCUCACCUCACAGUGCCAUUGGGGCGGGUGUAAUGACCUGUGUGGGGUCCCAUGUGAAUACGAGCUUGCUGUCCAAGCCAGCCGUCUAGCUGCCCCCAACCCGAGAGCACAAAGGAAGAACAAUAAAUGCCCACGAGGGCGCCAACCUCUACGUCUGUAUUGUUCCCAUAGUAAUAAUACUGUGCUCAACAUUCCAGUGGUAAAAACUC